rnacentral:ribozyme from 2 species
AUAAUAACUCGGCCUGUAGCGCCUCCGGGGGCUACUGCCGGUCCCAAGCCCGGGUAAAGGAAGAGGGUUGG